rnacentral:tRNA from 1 species
GCAGUCGUGGCCGAGUGGUUAAGGCGUUGGACUUGAAAUCCAAUGGGUCUCCCCGCGCAGGUUCGAACCCUGCCGGCUGCG